CCUACGGGAGACAGCAGUAGGGAAUCUUCCACAAUGGACGAAAGUCUGAUGGAGCAACGCCGCGUGAGUGAAGAAGGGUUUCGGCUCGUAAAGCUCUGUUGGUAGUGAAGAGAGAUAGAGGUAGUAACUGGCCUUUAUUUGACGGUAAUUACUUAGAAAGUCACGGCUAACUACGUGCCAGCAGCCGCGGUAAUACGUAGGUGGCAAGCGUUGUCCGGAUUUAUUGGGCGUAAAGCGAGUGCAGGCGGUUCAAUAAGUCUGAUGUGAAAGCCUUCGGCUCAACCGGAGAAUUGCAUCAGAAACUGUUGAACUUGAGUGCAGAAGAGGAGAGUGGAACUCCAUGUGUAGCGGUGGAAUGCGUAGAUAUAUGGAAGAACACCAGUGGCGAAGGCAGCUUACCAAACUAUAUCUGACGUUGAGGCACGAAAGCGUGGGUAGCAAACAGGAUUAGAUACCCCUGUAGUC
rnacentral:rRNA from 1 species